GACCAAGUUAGUAGAAGAGAAACACUAACAUAAGGGCAUAGAAUUGACUAAAUAACUUACAGUGUAGAUUGACAUGGACCUACCACAGGGCUCGGUCUGUGGUAGAGAAAUACAAAGUUGUCACAGACCAAAUGUAGUGUGACAAUUUCUUCUGUAUCACAUUUCCUCUUUCAGCCCUCAUGCAAAUCUAUUCUCAAGAUCUCUUGUUCACUUGUGUGUGUGGUGUAUCUUACUUCUUGUUGUAUCUUAUUUAAUGCCUUAUCGUAUAUAACAUUUUCAUGCAUUGGUCUUUGAAAGGAAGAAGUGAGAUCAAGACUGUGUUCAAACACUUCCUUUUUCAUCCCUGAAGUGACAUAAUUUAUCGCGUGUUUUGCUCAAACAUCCUAGUCACACGGUGUGGCAGGUUUGGAAUCUGAAUUUGAGAUUUGUAUAGUGAAUCUACAGUUUCCAACACUGUGGUUGGCCAUUGUGAAGACAACAUGCUUGUGGUGUUUGGACUCCUGGUGAUGUUAACUGGACUCUCUAAUGGCAUGGAGGAGAAAUGCUGUGAUGCUAGACAGAACAUGUCACGUCACGGAGCUCUGGGAGAAACUGUCUAUCUUCAGCUGAUGAAUAAUGCCACAGGGUCUGAACUCAUAUUUAAAAAAGACCCCACUGGUGCUAGUAUAAAGAUAUUCAGCAUGAAAAACAACACAGUGAGCUUCCAUGACUCCAUUAAAGCAAGAUCAGAGUUCUUUAUCAACAACGGGACAUUUAGGAUAUCUAACACAGAAAAGAGUGAUUCUGGUGAAUAUCUCUUAGAAAUCUAUAAUUCACAUGGAACACGUUUGUGCACCGGAGGAGUACAACUGAUAAUUGGAGGAGGAUCUUAUGGGACUGUCAUAGGGUCACUAGUAGCUGUGGUCCUGGUCCUAACCGUGGUAGUGGGAGCUUACUGUAUUCACAAGAGGAGGACACCUCCACAGGCUCCAGUCCCCACAGAUGCUGAUGAGAGUCCAGAACUGGAACAUGCUGACAUCAAUAUUCUAAAGAAGAUGGAGAAACACAGGGAGGUUCCAGAGGAUGUGGAGUAUGGACAGGUAGUAGUAUUGAAGGGUUCCAGACCAACCACAGAGAGAGACAGACCUGAGGGGCGGGAGGAGACUGUGUAUGCUGGAAUACAGCUUGGCCAAUGAGAGAGGUUCUUCAAUGUAGGCCGGGAUAUGAAUGGUUGAUGUUUAGACAUAGUAUUGAUGCUCUGUUGCUUCUUUUUUUACUUUAAAUAAUUUUAUCUAACUUUUCCAUAUUUCUGUACAUAUUUUCAUGAAAUGUAUAUAAACAUCAAACAACUAAACUGUAUACACUUGCCGUAGUGAGUCCUUCUGUUAUUUCAUUGAACGUGUUUAAAGUCUCAACAUACACCCAUACUGACCAUUUCCAUCUACAACAUAUUAUUACA
rnacentral:lncRNA from 8 species